GUCGGUGUUUUAUUGCAAUGUGUCCCACCUCUUCCCAUUCCGAACAGAGAAGUGAAAGCAUUGUAACCUGAUGAUACUUGGCUUUGUGCCUGGGAAAGUAGGGUAUGCCGACA
rnacentral:rRNA from 1 species